rnacentral:rRNA from 1 species
CCCUUAGAUGUUCUGGGCCGCACGCGCGCUACACUGAUGCAUUCAACAAGCCUAGCCUUGACCGAGAGGUCCGGGUAAUCUUUGAAACUGCAUCGUGAUGGGGCUAGAUUAUUGCAAUUAUUAAUCUUCAACGAGGAAUGCCUAGUAAGCGUGAUUCAUCAAAUCGCGUUGAUUACGUCCCUGCCCUUUGUACACACCGCCCGUCGCUCCUACCGAUUGAAUGUGUUGGUGAGGAGCUCGGAUUGGCAGCAGUUGGUGGUUCGCCAUCGGCUAUUGCUGAGAAGUCCUCCAAACCGCCCCAUUUAGAGGAAGGAGAAGUCGUAACA